GCCAGACUCCUACGGGAGGCAGCAGUGGGGGAUAUUGCACAAUGGGGGGAACCCUGAUGCAGCGACGCCGCGUGGGUGAAGGAGUAUUUCGGUAUGUAAAGCCCUAUCGGCAGGGAAGAAGCAAGACGGUACCUGACUAAGAAGCCCCGGCUAACUACGUGCCAGCAGCCGCGGUAAUACGUAGGGGGCGAGCGUUGUCCGGAUUUACUGGGUGUAAAGGGCGCGUAGGCGGGAUAGCAAGUCAGUCGUGAAAUGCCGAGGCUUAACCUCGGAGCUACGAUUGAAACUGUUAUUCUUGAGUAUCGGAGAGGAAAGCGGAAUUCCUAGUGUAGCGGUGAAAUGCGUAGAUAUUAGGAGGAACACCAGUGGCGAAGGCGGCUUUCUGGACGACAACUGACGCUGAGGCGCGAAAGUGUGGGGAGCAAACAGGAUUAGAUACCCUAGUAAU
rnacentral:rRNA from 1 species